ACUUUAAUUGAAGAGUUUGAUCAUGGCUCAGAUUGAACGCUGGCGGCAGGCCUAACACAUGCAAGUCGA
rnacentral:rRNA from 1 species